CCUACGGGGGACAGCAGUGAGGAAUAUUGGUCAAUGGCCGGAAGGCUGAACCAGCCAAGCCGCGUGAAGGACGAAGGUGCCAAGCAUUGUAAACUUCUUUUGUCAAGGGACAAAAUCAGGCGCGAGAGCCUGACCGAGGGUACGUGAAGAAAAAGCAUCGGCUUACGCCGUGCCAGCAGCCGCGGUAAUACGGAGGAUGCGAGCGUUAUCCGGAUUGCUUGGGUUUACAGGGUGCGUAGGCGGGCUUUUAAGUCAGCGGUAAAAGCCCUGGGCUCACCCCCGGCGUGCCGUUGAAACUGGCUGUCUUUAUCUGUCGAGAGGUAUGCGGAAUGCCCAGUGUAGCGGU
rnacentral:rRNA from 1 species